rnacentral:lncRNA from 1 species
GACAGGCUUAGCUAUGACUAAAAGUGUUGCUGGGUGUAAGACUAUGGAGGAUACAUCUGUAUUCAACUUAGGGCAAGAGAGCAUCAAGCUUCAGGAAGGAGAGAUUAUGAUUGUUUUACUUGCUUUCAGAUAAUGGAUUCUCUCACUUCUUUUCUUUUCUUUUCUUUUCCUUUUCUUUCUCUCUCUCUCUCUCUCUGUCACAUCUAUAUAGAUAUCCAUUCAUAUAUCCAUACAGGAAAGAAGGAAGGAAGGAAGGAAGGAAGGAAGGAAGGAAGGAAGGAAGGAAGGAAUGAAGGAAGGAAGGAAGAUACCCCAAGUAUAAAUGGAUUCAAGCUACUUGGAAUUUGGAUGACUAUGAUUUAAGAGAAUGUCAGUUUUAGGGAGAAAAGGGAAAAGAAAGUAGAAGAAGGAACAGAAAAACCAUCUAUGAAAGAAGUCUAAGUCCCCCUCAAGGUUAUCAUUUUUAGUUUAACCAAAGAAACAAAAGUGAAAACCUAAUACUCAAAAUUUGGGUGGCUGAGGCUGGUGGAUCACUUGAGCCCAGGAGUUUGAGACCAGCCAGGGCAACAUGGCAAAACCCAGUCUCUACCAAAAUAAAAUACGAAAAUUAGCCAGGCAUAGGGGUGCGUGCCUGUAGUCCCAGCUACUUGGGAGGCUGAGGUGAGUGGAUCACAUGAGCCUGGGUCAAGCCUGCAGUGAGCCGAGAUAACACCACUGCACUCCAGCCUGGGUGACAGAGGGAGGUCCUAUCUCAAAAAACAAACAAACAAACAAAACUUAACAAAAAAUAAAAAAUAAAAAAUUACAUAUUUUGAAUCAUAGCCCAAACCAAGAAUAAAAUAUUAAAUAAUAGACCUUUGGUCUUUGUGUUCCCUCACCCUCAUCAACUUAAUAAGAGGUUGACAUUUUUGUAAAAAGGUAGUCAAGAUCUACCAGUUAAACUGAACAAUAAACAGGAACUCUAUUGCACCACCAUGUUUCAGCUUGGCUUUACAGGAUGAGUGAGU